CUCUGGCGCUGCUCCCCAGGCAUAUAUAUGCAGGGGUCAGCCAGCAGGCUGACUUCCUGUGUGAUGAUGGCAGCAGGCGGACCUGGUGGCUCUGGCCAGGGCUGUUUGUGGCAGUGUGGUCCGAGCAUCUGCUAUGUUGGUUCAUGGUGAUGCCAGCAGUGUUACAGAGACACGGAUCUCGUCCAUGCACUUUAAGAUAAGUGCUCAAAGGCCACGGUUGACCAAGAGUAACUAGAACCAAGAAGAAUAAAACCAUGGAUGAGGGGGUUCUGUACUGGCGAGUGCAUCUUUGGAGCUGUCAGCAAGGCAAGAGGGUUCCCCCCCACACACCCCAUCUCAGCUCAGAAGAGGCUGAGAUCUUUCUGGAAGCACUGCACAGGAUGACCUGGAGUGAAUACAGUGAGACAGACUCCAGAGGCUACUCCAAGUGUCAGAUUGGAGAUGGAGUCCCUGAAGGACGCUGUAGGGCUGGAGAUGAAAUUGAUUCCGUCCGUGCAGGGUGAGGGGAGGGAGGAGAAAAGGUGUCCAUUUUCUAAACAUUUUCCUCUUGAAAUUAAAGUUAAAAAAUUUUUUUCUGUGUGUUUUUUAGGGCAGCACCCACGGCAUAUGGAGGUUCCCAGGCUAGGGGUCAUAAAUGUUUAUUUUUGUCGAGGAAUACCUAAAUGUAAAGACAAGGGAAUUCUGUAAGUCUCGUUAUCAAUAAGAUCAAUCCCUGCCCACGCACCUCGCUUUUAGCUGAUGGCCCCCCACCGUUCACCUCCAUCUCUCAACUGCACGCUUGUGCUCCUGCUCUUUGCUUUUCGAGAUGUUUCCUCUUGUGAAAGACAAGCAUUUCAGUAACCACCUUCUCCAACACCAACGCUCACUCACGCAUCUCUUCUCUGCCUUUAUCCUCCCAAAGGAGAUUUAUGGGGUUUUGCUUCCUCCUUCCCUCCCGUCCUGCCUUCGUUCUUUCUGUUUGGGUUUUAUGUUGUCAUGACUUUGCAGCACGCUGUCCGAACCUCUGAACUACAUAGAUGCUGUGAUUACUUUUUUUUCCCCCGAGUCAACAUUUUGUUUGCCAGGAAAU
rnacentral:lncRNA from 1 species